rfam:Trichobilharzia regenti genome assembly, scaffold: TRE_scaffold0036518
AGCCUUCUGUAUCCGUGCUGAGAUUUCGUCAGCGAUCAACCCGUUGGCACUGGCUGAUGCAACUCCCCAAAUAAGUGAAGUG